rnacentral:rRNA from 1 species
UACGUAGGGUGCAAGCGUUAUCCGGAAUUAUUGGGCGUAAAGAGCUCGUAGGCGGUUUGUCGCGUCGGCCGUGAAAUCUCCACGCUUAACGUGGAGCGUGCGGUCGAUACGGGCAGACUUGAGUUCGGUAGGGGAGACUGGAAUUCCUGGUGUAGCGGUGAAAUGCGCAGAUAUCAGGAGGAACACCGGUGGCGAAGGCGGGUCUCUGGGCCGAUACUGACGCUGAGGAGCGAAAGCGUGGGGAGUGAACAGG